rnacentral:ncRNA from 1 species
CACCGCGAGGUGGAAUCUGAAGGAAGUCGAAGGCAAAAUCUCGGUCUGAGAAACAUGAACUAUAUAUAAGGCUUGCUAGGUACGGACGAAUUUACUAAACAAAACAAAGUUCAAUACUACCCAAAUCCCUAGGAGUAAAUAUAGCAGAUAUAUGAGAUGAAGGUUGUU